ensembl:lncRNA
GUAGAUAUAUUCAGGUCAGGAGUCUUCUCAAACAUGUGAAGUUUGGGGCAGAUUGGACAUUGUAUGUCUGAGUUAUAACAACUUCCUUUCUCAUGGCGAAACAUCGAUAUUUGUAAGGCCGCCAUGGACACGCCGUUUAACGAAACCUCAAGAUCUUCGCAAUUUAAUAUCGCAAAGGGCUUUAGAUUACACUGAGCAAUUUUGGUGUUGAUCUGAAUAAAUCUCUAGGAGGAGUUCGUUAAAGUACAACCCCUGAAAAUGGCAAAAACAACACCAAUUUUGCAGGGAAAAUUCAAAAUAACCGACUUCCUGUUGGGAUUCGGAUUUCGUACCAAGAGACUUUUUUGUAGGUAUUGGUGUGUUACAUGUGUGUACCGAUUUUCGUACAUGUACGUGAAACAUAGCUCGAGGCGCACUCCGUUGAAACUGUAUAGGUGGCGCUAUCGAGCCAUUUUUCCACACCCGAUGGAAUAUUGGCCUUCAGAUGUGUUCAGGCCAGGAAUCUUAUCAAACAUGUGAAGUUUGGGGAAGAACGGACAUUUUAUGCCUGAGUUAUAACAUCUUUUAUUCCCAUGGCGAGACAUCGAACUUUGUGACGGCGCCAUGGACACGCCCUUUAACGAAAACUCAAGAUCUUCACAAUUUAACAUCGCACAGGCCUUUAGAAUAUAGUGACUGAAAAAAAAAAUUUAUGUCAUAAAAUUUCUCGGGGUAGUUUGUUACAGUGUAAAAUAUGUCACUUCCUGUUGCCAGUAGGUGGCGCUAUGACUAUAACUGAAUAUGGGCAUAUCAAUCUGUUCAGGUCAGGAGUCUUAUCAAACAUGUGAAGUUUGUGGCAGAUUGGACAUUGUAGGUCUGAGUUAUAGCAACUUCAUUUUUCAUGGCGAAUCAUCGAAAUUCGUUAGGCCGCCACGGACACGCCCUUCAACGAAAACUCAAGAUCUUCGCAAUUUAACAUCGCAAAGGCCUUUAGAUUAGGCAUACCAAAUUUGGUGUUGAUCUGAAAAAAUCUCUAGGAGGAGUUCGUUAAAAUACAAGGCAUGCAAAUGACAAAAAUGAUGCAAAAUUUGCUCAUAAAAUUAAAAAUAACCGACUUCCUGUUGGGUUUUGGAUAUUGCUCCAAGAGUCUUUUUUGUAGGUACUGAUGCUUUACAUAUGUGUGCCAAUUUUCGUGCAUGUAUGUGAAACACAGCUCGAGGGCUGUUGAUUUUUUUACGAUAGGUGGCGCUGUCGAGCCAUUUUGCCACACCCUCUUCUGAAACCUAUAUCAGACGUAAAUUUUCACCAGGUCUGACGCGUGUGCAAAGUUUCAGGACUUUUCGAGCAUGUUUAGGCCCUCAAAAAUGCGAUUCAUUUUGGAGAAGAAGAAGAAGAAGAAGAAGAAGAAGAAUAAUAAUAAUAAUUAAAGCUGCAAGCAGCGAUGAACGGGCCCUCGCACCCGGGCUCACCGCCAGCGGGUGGCUUUAGUAAAACAGCUAACGGCGAGAAAUAUGCAUUUAAUGUGGUAAAUAUAAGAGGAAUAUGUCAAAGUCAUUUAUAUGUGCCAAUCUUCCUGCUGCCAGCUGGUGGCGCUAUGACUAUAACUGGAUUUUGUCAUGUAGAUUUCUU